ACUUGCUCUGAAGCACUUCACCUCCUAAAAUCCAUACACCUUGUUGUGGGACAGUUUUGUAACGCAAGUGCUAUGUGAGUGUAUAUAUCACGUGGGCUUAUGGUGUACUUCCUCAUCAAUACAUCGACACCCAAUUAGACAGUUUGUUCCAUGAGAAAAACUAGUAUGCCUUGAAGUUUAAAAAGUAUCUCGGAGAAAUGGUAUGUGAUUUAAUUCAGGCGUAGCACGAAGAAAGUUAAAAAAAAAUUACGUGACGGCUAGUUCAUGGUGUAAAAUGUUGAUCUGAAGAUUACUGGAUUACAACAACACAUUUCCCUAUCAAAAUCUUAUGUAUAGGAAACAAUUAUUGAAUCCGUUCAGUCAGCAAGCAAGGAGCAGUGUAAUCGAAUCAAAUACGACCUCCGAUUGUUCUCAAACAUCGUGUAAAAUUGUGAAAACUUGGGAUAGACGUAGAAAAACUACGUCAAAUUGCACUGGAUAAGCCCACCUGAUAUAUCAACUCACUUUGCGCAAGUGUCACGUCGGUUUGUCGGUGGUAUGACCACCCUAUGCCUUCAGCACCGCUUCAAAUCAACGAGGCAUACUUUCAACGAGAAUCCGUAGAUAUUUUGAAUCCAUUUUCUCACACGCUGUUUCCAAAGCAUCAAACUAGUCGUCUUUGUUCGAGACCGAUGUUUUGUUCAUUUUAUCGUGCAAAUAACAUCACAAGUUUUCUAUCGGAUUAAAGACGGGAGAUUGGAAUGGCCAUUCGAGCAUCUUAAUUCGGUUUGAUUUGAAAAUUUCAGUUAUUUUUUGGCCGUAUGUCUGGGGUCGUUGUCUUGUUAAAACCGUAAUUUGUUUCUAGGCCAGAUUUUAAUAGUGAAACCACCAACAAUUUGUUCAUUCAACAAAUCAAUACACACAUCUGCGGUCAUUAUUCUCUUCAUAUGCACCAAUCUUCCAACUCUAGACCACGCAAACAAUCCCCAAAGCGUAAUGUUUCCCCCUUCAUGCUUUACCGUCUUUUGAAUGUAUGGUUCCUUAAGUACGUCACUGGAUCUGCGCCAUAGCCUGGAAUCGACG